AUGGUGCCGAGCCAACCCGGCAGAGCCCCAGGACAGAAAACACCUGGGACAAAGGCACGUGCCCCCAUUUUGGGGUCAUUGUGGGGACCCCUGCCCAGGACAGAGCUGGCAGGGCUGGGAGCAGGGCUGGAGCCACAGCAAAAGCAGCAUCUUUUUGUGGCAGCUCGUGAUGUCAGCCAGGUCCCCUGGCUGUGCAAACAGCGGUGCAGGGACAUUGCACUUCCUCCUGAGCGCUCGGCUGCGCUGAGCACGGCUCUGCCUGCCAAGGUAAGGCUGCUUUUCCCCUCUCCUCGCAACCAGAACCUCGUGCUGCUUCCUGCACAAGCAUCCCUUUCCUCGGGCUUUUCCUUAGCGGGCGGCUCUUGCCGGGAGGGGGCUGGUGGCACUCGGAGCCCUGCAGCAGCAGCAGCAGCAGCAGCAGCCGCUGUCCCCUUGUGCCAGUGGGGGAACACAUGGAGGAGUUCAGGCAGCGGCUGCAAAAACAAACCUCAGGCGUGGGCAAUUAGCAGUGCUCCAAAUGUUCUCCAGUGUGGUUAGCAGGGAUAAUUUCCGCCUCUUGCCCGAUUCCUCCGGGAAUAUAUUUUAUUUUAAAGCCAUACUUGACUGUGAUGUAACAUGCAAAUCUGGUUGUUUUUUUUUCCCAGCGGGGAUUUAUAUUGCUAUAAAAUAAAAUCCAUGUGCUGCCCAUCUUUGUGCCAUCAAAGGCUCUGUGAGGGAGCAGCAACAGGAGGAAAUUGGUAAUAGUGAGGGGACACAAGAUGACAAAAAUUAGCGGGAUUGCUUGGACUUGCUUUUGCUAAUGAGAAUGCUGAGGUGGUUUUAAUUCUUAAUCAGAUUGCUCUGAAUUAAAACUUGACUUCAUGGGCUGCAGGUUUUAAACUUCAUGGGCUGGAGGUUUUAAACUUCAUGGGCUGCAGGUUUUAAAUUUGACUUCACAGGCUGCAGGUUUCCAGCCGUGCUUUGUAAAAGGUGUUUUUCUGCUGGCUUUGCUUUUACUUGCUGCAGCAGCUCAGCUCAGCUCAGCUCAGCUGGGAGCUCAGCAUUUGACUUCACAGGCUGCAGGUUUCCAGCCGUGCUUUGUAAAAGGUGUUUUUCUGCUGGCUUUGCUUUCACUUGCUGCAGCAGCUCAGCUCAGCUCAGCUGGGAGCUCAGCAAACAGCCCCUGGGCUGCUCACAGGCAGGAUUUAGAGUGGGCAGCUCCUGAAUCUGAGAUUUCUGCAAGCGGGUCGAGAGGGAAUCUGGCAGAAGGUGAGUCAGGAUGUCAGGAUCUGCAGGAGGGGAUUCCUCAGCUGGAGCAGGAGCUCUGCAGGGACAGUGGGGUUCUCUUCAAAGGUGUAUUUUUGUGUCAAGUAAAAGUGGCCUCAGUGCCAACAUCAUCAGCCAUGGGAAUUCCAUCCACGAGGGAAAUGCAUCCGUGGGACAGCCCUUGCCCAGCCUGGAGCCAGCACCCUGAGGGGGCUGCUGGUGUCUGUGCUGGAGCUGCAGGAAGCAGUUCAACCAGUGCUGCAAAACGAAAAUACUGCAGAGAGCCCAGAGCUGCUCUGCUUCUGUGAAAGAGAACCAAAAAAAGCACCUUUAACUGUAGAAUGUUCCACUCCCAGUGCAGAGGUUUCACUCUGGUGUCAUGGCCACGCACUCAGGGCAGAGUGUGGAGAUGCUUGUGCCACAAUCAAAUAAUUAACCUGGCUGUGAUGGGCACCUCAGACAGAUCCAGGACUCUGGGAUGACAUCCCUGUGCUUCUCAGCCUAGCUCAGAUCCUAUCCAUCUUUUGCCUAGGAAUGCUGUGCUUAGUUUCCAAAUCUCCACUAAUAGCAUGCUCUCUUCUUAUAUCCUUAUUGCAACAGCAUCAGGGAUGCAGAGACUCACAAAAAUAUAAAAAAUAAUGGUUGGAUCUCAGUGUGUUAAUUUGAUGCUGUUUUUUAAAAAAAAUCAUAUUCUGAAAGCAAUGUUGCAGUGGGAACCACCUCCCUUCAGGAUGUAAAUGAGAGAUAAAAUAAAACCUACUGGAUAAAAUCUACUGGAGAUUUCAGUCUUCUGCAGCGCUGCACACCCACCACACAGUGAAGGAUUUGGAAGUGUAAUUUUAGGACCCUCAGUGAUAUCUCAAGUAUCUGCUUUUGUGCACAAGUGGGAAGAGAAGGGCUUGGUGUGGGAUUAAGCCUCAGUCUGAGCCAAAGUGAGAGGAAAGGCAGAAAUGCAGUAAUUUUGUGGUGCCUUGUGCCUGGGUGCAUUUUGAUUAAAGAGAUGGUUUAACCUCGUUAUGUUUUUAUGGUUUCGUAAUGAAAUCCUCCAUCCUCAGAAAAGGGUCCUGCUGAUGGGCCAGCAGACAUCGCCCUCUGCAUAUUAAUUGUGGUGAUGUAUUAAUUAAUGCAAUUAAUGUAUGAAUUGUGGUAAUGUAUUAGUGUUUUUAUGGUUUUGUAAUGAAAUCCUCCAUCCUCAGAAAGGGGUCCUGCUGAUGGGCCAGCAGACAUCGCCCUCUGCAUAUUAAUUGUGGUGAUGUAUUAAUUAAUGCAAUUAAUGUAUGAAUUGUGGUAAUGUAUUAAUUGCGUGCAGUGCUCAGACCCUGAGUUCCCUGAAUGCAGAGAGAAUUUUCUGACUCCAGGGCAUCCAGUCCUGUUCCCAGUCUCUGAGUUAGAUCUGGGGUGGUGGGGCUGGGGUAUCACCUGCAGGAUGGGUUUCAGAACCUCCUGGCUCCAAGCUGCACCACAGCUCCAUGAUCUCCUCCAAAGUGCAUCUUUUCAGGAUUCUUCUGCCUGCAAAUUGAAUAAUAGAAUCAUUUAGGUUGGAAAAGACCUUUAAAGGUCAUCAGAAAUGAUACCAGCGGCCAGGCCCACUCCUGGGAGCAGUUUUUUUUCCUUAAUAUUAGUUAUUCAGCAGCACUGGAUGUUUUCAGUUUGGGAUCUUCCUAAAUGAUGGCAAGGUGGACUCAUGAGAACUCCCACUGGGACAACACUUGGGGUGAGAAAAAAUGGCUUAAAGAGAGCCAAGAAAUGAAAUUUGGAUGAACUCUGACACCUUGUGGACAACCAGCAGAUGAAGGUGAUGGGUGAGGGGGAAGCUCUGGGGGCCUGGGCGGGGUCUGUCCCACCAGAGAGCCAAGCUGAGCUCUGGGAUGGAGUGUGAACCCUCGUGUUCUAGGGACACAGCAGUUUGCCCUAAAACCUCUGGUCAGAGCCCAGUUUGAGUCAGCAGACCUUUGCCCCAUCACCCCAAUCGUCCUCAGUGUCACAUGAGAGCUAAGUCACAGAAUAUUCUGAGUUGGAAGGGUCUAAAUAAGGCCUGGCUCUAUUUAAGGACCUUGAUAAGCAAAUUGGCUGCUGUCACUCACUGGACUGAAGAGCAAUCACACACUGGUCAGCAUUUAAUUAGAUAAUUAAUUGUAAAAGUGUCUUUAAAAUACAACAUUUUGCAGAUGUACCUAAUCCUGUGUGGGUUUAACGGCCAUCUUCAAUAUCCAGCUGGCUCCUUCCAGCUUUGAUAUCCAAGGAAAACCAGGCACAUGAGGACCUGGAAAAUGGUUUCUUCACAAAGGGAGAGGUGACCCGAAGGGACAGAAGGUGCAGUGGGCAGUGCUUUUACCAGAGACAAGGCCAUGGCCAGCUGGAUAACAGCUGGGAAGGGAUGAAAUCUCCUGAGCAGCAGAAAUCCACAGCUCUCCCAGGAAAUGGGAUGUAACCACAUCCAGCACUCUGAGAGGAGGAACCCCCAUGCUCAGCUCCAGUCCCUGCUCAUCCCUGUCCUGACAGGGAUGGAGAGCAGAUCUCCAUUGCUGCUGCUCAGGGGAGACAAAUCCUUGAGCCUGAUGAAUCUUUUUCUGUGUUUCUGUCACGGUUUGAGGCUCUUCCCUCCUCAUGGGUCUGUCGUGGCAGGAGCAAGGCUGUGCUGUCCUUAGCAGAGCAGAGCAUCCUGUCCCAGAGCUCAGGGGCUUUGGGAGGGAGCUGGAGGGACAAAAGCAGCUCUGAGGGGCUGGGAUGCAGCACCUUGGUGCAGGAAGGGAUGAACAGAGAGCUUCCCAAAGGCAGCACUCAGAGCAGCUGCAGGAGACAAAAACAGACCUUGCUUUUUGAAAGAGAAGCUGAGAAAGAAAAGCAAGAAUCUGUGCAGGGAGCCUGCAGGAGCAGAGUCACCCUGCUGCCAUGUGGGACCUUGCCACAUUUUGGGGGCUGAAUCCCAGCCUUUCCAUGGCAGCCUGGAGCAGCCUCUGGAGGAGCUGCCAGGUGUAAGCACCACAAGGACUGAGAGGAUGAAAACCCAGCUAUUUGUGUUCUGUGUCACUGAGAGCUCUAAAUUCAACUCUUUUGGUAAGGCCAAGGGAAAAGCUUUAGUAACAGAGUAGGAGUUACUAAUUUCUACCUACAGACACAGUUUUUCUGGCGAAUGCUCUUUGCAGGAAAUGAGUCAGAGGAGUGAAUCAGUGUCUGAAGUGCCACAUGCAGCUGAUUUUCAGCUUGAACCGUUAUAUUCAAUAUGAG
rnacentral:lncRNA from 1 species